CUCCCAGCCACAAUCUCAUCUGCCAUAUGCGUGCUUUUGAAAUAAAUAAAUUGUGGUAAUGAAUCCCCUUGUAUUGUACAUAUAUAGCUGAUCAAACUCACCUGAUUGAAUAUUAUUUGUGUAGAUGAAGGCAAGUAGCGCCCAACAACUUAUCUUACAGCAGACCUCCUCAUAUUAAGUUAAAUACGUGAUGCAGCUAGAUAUCAUCCAUCUUCCAUCAAUGUUUUUAUCCAUCUGAUGAUCAGAGGUAGAAUAAGCUGGUUAUAAAAAGAAGGUAAGGAUGUGUGGGUGGGAGGAAUCGGAAAACCAUACAUAUUGUAGCCAGUGUAUCAGAACUGAUGCUAUGGGUCAUCACGUCCGCUAUGUAUUGCCCCACAAAACGUGCUAACACGGGGACACAAAACAGAGAAUCGCCGGUCGUCGGGUUGUGCAUGUACAUGCAAAACAUGGAGGGUCAACUUGCCAAUGGCAUGGGGCAGCCA
rnacentral:lncRNA from 1 species